rnacentral:rRNA from 1 species
GAUGAACGCUAGCGGCAGGCCUAAUACAUGCAAGUCGGACGAGAACCGGUGAAGUAGCAAUACGGGAACGGGGACAGUGGCGCACGGGUGCGUAACGCGUAUGCAACCUACCUUUAUCAGGGGGAUAGCCCGGAGAAAUCCGGAUUAACACCGCAUAAAAUCACAGAGUAGCAUUACUCAAUGAUACAAAUAUUUAUAGGAUAAAGAUGGGCAUGCGUGACAUUAGAGUUGGUGAGGUAAGGGCUCACCAAGACUACGAUGUCUA